rnacentral:lncRNA from 1 species
CUCCAAGUCUCCAAGUCUCCUUCGCACUUGCUCCUGGCUGAUGGAUGAAAUGGAAUGUACUGGAAUAGGUGAUGUGUCUACAGUGCUGAUUGGCUCAAAGUAGCAGAAGAAAUCUAGGGAGCUGAGGAUCUCGGCUGCAGAUAACGUGAGAUGGUAUCUUUAAAGAAGUCUGACCUAGGUCCCCUGCAUCUAAGAAGCUGGCAUCGAAGUUGUUAGAAGAGUUAUUGGAAUGGGACUAACAGGAGAUGGUUGCCAGAGAAGGAUCCUGAAACUGUUAUCACAGCUAUACAAGGUCAAAUGAAGGGCAUAACCUUGGCAUGAAGAGGAAUUGGUAGAGGAGGGCUGAGCUACGGUCGAUGACCUUGGAGACAGAAUGCUGGUGAUAGAAUAGUGAAGCACAGCGCAGUGUUUAACUUGUCCGGACAUAGGUAAGAAAUCAGAUCCUGGCUCCGAGCCAUCAUACGAGGCGUGAGCCCACAGGCUGACUGUCAGCGGUGAAAAGGACUUUGCUGACUUCCAGAUAGGACAGAAGGAGGUAGGAUCCCAUCCGUGGUGCCUCAGAAGGUGGUGGAGGGGCGCAUUCUUAUGUGUUCACGGAACACUUCAGCUCAUGGUUACAGGUGGAUAUUUGCAUAUGAAUUAUCCAGCACAUGGUUUCGGGUGUAUGUGUGUGUGUGUGUGUGUGUGUGUGUGGUGUCCAUUUGUAUAUGAACUCUUUGGCUUACACCUGCAGCCCUAUAGUUCUUGCUUUUUU